CGGGGUGUGGCCCAGUGGUAGGGCACUCGCUUGGGGUGCGAGUGGUCGUCCCGAUACAUCGGGAUCACCCCAA
rnacentral:tRNA from 1 species